AGGUGAACCUGCGGAGGGAUCAUUACCGAGUUUACAACUCCCAAACCCAAUGUGAACGUUACCAAUCUGUUGCCUCGGCGGGAUUCUCUGCCCCGGGCGCGUCGCAGCCCCGGAUCCCAUGGCGCCCGCCGGAGGACCAACUCAAACUCUUUUUUCUCUCCGUCGCGGCCUACGUCGCGGCUCUGUUUUAUUUUUGCUCUGAGCCUUUCUCGGCGACCCUAGCGGGCGUCUCGAAAAUGAAUCAAAACUUUCAACAACGGAUCUCUUGGUUCUGGCAUCGAUGAAGAACGCAGCGAAAUGCGAUAAGUAAUGUGAAUUGCAGAAUUCAGUGAAUCAUCGAAUCUUUGAACGCACAUUGCGCCCGCCAGUAUUCUGGCGGGCAUGCCUGUCCGAGCGUCAUUUCAACCCUCGAACCCCUCCGGGGGGUCGGCGUUGGGGAUCGGCCCCUCACCGGGCCGCCCCCGAAAUACAGUGGCGGUCUCGCCGCAGCCUCUCCUGCGCAGUAGUUUGCACACUCGCACCGGGAGCGCGGCGCGGCCACAGCCGUAAAACACCCCAAACUCUGAAAUGUUGACCUCGGAUCAGGUAGGAAUACCCGCUGAACUUAAGCAUAUCAAUAA
rnacentral:rRNA from 1 species